GACGAACGCUGGCGGCGUGCCUAAUACAUGCAAGUAGAACGCUGAAGAGAGGAGCUUGCUCUUCUUGGAUGAGUUGCGAACGGGUGAGUAACGCGUAGGUAACCUGCCUGGUAGCGGGGGAUAACUAUUGGAAACGAUAGCUAAUACCGCAUAAAAUGGAUUAUCGCAUGAUAAUCCAUUGAAAGGUGCAAAUGCAUCACUACCAGAUGGACCUGCGUUGUAUUAGCUAGUUGGUGGGGUAACGGCUCACCAAGGCGACGAUACAUAGCCGACCUGAGAGGGUGAUCGGCCACACUGGGACUGAGACACGGCCCAGACUCCUACGGGAGGCAGCAGUAGGGAAUCUUCGGCAAUGGACGGAAGUCUGACCGAGCAACGCCGCGUGAGUGAAGAAGGUUUUCGGAUCGUAAAGCUCUGUUGCAAGAGAAGAACGAGUGUGAGAGUGGAAAGUUCACACUGUGACG
rnacentral:rRNA from 1 species